rnacentral:rRNA from 1 species
GAUGAACGCUGGCGGCGUGCCUAAUACAUGCAAGUCGAGCGAACAGACGAGGAGCUUGCUCCUCUGACGUUAGCGGCGGACGGGUGAGUAACACGUGGAUAACCUACCUAUAAGACUGGGAUAACUUCGGGAAACCGGAGCUAAUACCGGAUAAUAUAUUGAACCGCAUGGUUCAAUAGUGAACGACGGUUUUGCUGUCACUUAUAGAUGGAUCCGCGCCGCAUUAGCUAGUUGGUAAGGUAACGGCUUACCAAGGCAACGAUGCGUAGCCGACCUGAGAGGGUGAUCGGCCACACUAGAACUGAGACACGGUCGAGACUCCUACGGGAGGCAGCAGUAGGGAAUCUUCCGCAAUGGGCGAAAGCUUGACGGAGCAACGCCGCGUGAGUGAUGAAGGUCUUCGGAUCGUAAAACGCUGUUAUGAGGGAAGAACAAAUGUGUAAGUAACUAUGCACGUCUUGACGGUACCUAAUCAGAAAGCCACGGCUAACUACGUG